AACCGCAAUUCCCACAGCCGCAUGCCCACAUCCCUCCCUCCUCCCUCGUCUCAGCCGCCGCCCCACGAACCCUAGCCGCGCCCUACUACAUCUGUCCUCCUUCCCCCCUCCCUGGUCCGCCCCAAGCCCCUCCUCCUCCGCCCUCACAUGCUCCACCCUGAGCACACCGGCAGCGAAGUGCACCGCGAGGCCCCGAAGCAACUCAGCCAAAGCCCCUCCGUACAGGAGGAACCCCGCGGCCAGCGCAGCCAACAACGACACGUACAAGAGGUCGGCCUUGAUGGGUUGCGCGCCGUACGCGAGGGUCAUGUCCACACUGGAGGGCAGCAACGUGCACAUGGCGCGGUACGUGGAGGUGCGCAGGGAGAAGGUGCACGGCUCCGCCUAGCACCAUGUGUGCGGCAGCGGGGACAGGCGGCCACGGGCAGAUUUUGGGGAGCGGCACGAGCAUCUAGCAAUGGCUGAUGCCAAGGCAUGCCAAGAUCAAGGAUAUUUAUACUUGUUUCUUCUAUCGAUGAAAGAUUUCAGAUACUUUUGUAGAUGAAUUUCUGGGCUAAGAUAAAUAUGUUGCUCCACAAAAUUAUCUCCUUAGUUGCAUUCCAUUUAUAGUUCAUGUUCAUGGCCUUGCUGUGGUUGCAUCAUGGUCCGUGGGGAAUAGAAACAAAUACCUUUGCUACAACCGAGGUCUUGACAGACCAGUCAGGGAGAUAUAGGUUCGGAACAAUUUUUUUUCAUAAUUUUGCAGGGGUUGAUAUGCUCUAUCCCUUGAGGUGGCUUGGUUAUAAUUUUUGCCCCCCAAAGGGCAGAUCUGACCAGUUUCUUGCUAGAAUAUUAUCAUAAGGAAGAAAUGAAGUUGAGGGGAGGCUAUUGCAUGCUGGAAAAUCAGUUGGUGUUGUCUAUGUUGGUUUCAGGAAGAAAAGGACCGGCAAAUUGAUGGCUCAGGCAUGUCAUACAAAGUACCUUGUUGUAUCUAGCAGAUUGCGAGGAUUCCCUUCUGUUGUAAGAUGAAAACCUGGUUAUAUGUUGCAUCUCAAAAUCAAGAUGUUCAUUCGAGAAGAGAAAGGAGUUGUCGGUGUGUCGUGGUGCGCGACCUUGUCCCGGAGUAUGCAUUUUAUAUAAAGUAAUGUGUAUCAAUGCUUUCUCAUACAUAUGAUUCUGAAGUAAUAGAGAGCAGGAAGUGGCAGGCUUAAUUUCAAUUAGAUAAAUAGGUGUACUGCAGCAUCAUAUAUUUAGGUAAUCCCUUUUAUUUUUCUUGCCAGGUUCAUGCUAUAUACAUUGUGUAUAUGCACAUAAAGUACACCCACAUAAACUGUAGUUUGUAGUAUCAGCAGCAAACAGAGGUGCAGCUAAGUAGUAGCAUGUCCCUAUUAUAAAUGGGUAGAAAAACAAGAGCUUAUCAAAAGAACAGUAUCUCCGUUACAUGAUAAGGAUGAAUGUUUGAUGUUAUGCAUAUGUGUAAAAGCACUCCACUAUCAUGCAAAUAGUAUCAUGUUCAGAGCCUUAAUAAUGGCAGUUGUAAACCCAAAAUAAUCCAUCUUAUAAUUUAGGAUAUAGUAUAGAUUCCGGUGAGAACCACUCCAAUAAGAAUGCUAGCUGCUACUAUAUAUCUAAUUGGUCCCAGAUUGAAAAUCUUAGCUGUUAAUCUCUGAAUGCAGUAUGCACUUGUGCUGAAACAUAGAGCAUGUGUGGUGUUGCUCUGUACAUGAAUGAAAAAUCUCAGUUAUUAAUCUGUAAAUGAAGAAUGAUCAUGGUUCCCCACCUCUACUACUCAUAGUAAUGCCACCCUUUGCUAAUUUAUCUUUGGUUGUUCAAUGCAUGAUAACAUUUUUUGAAUUUGCAACAUAUGAUACCUUCAUCUUCUGAGUAGGAAGUCACUGGGCAAAAUUUUGCUGAUCAGAUGUAUGUAUAGUAUAAUAAUAGCAUAAUAAUAGCAGGUGAUAUACUAUAAUUGCCAUAUUAUUGAGCUUGAUAUCAUGUUUGAACUAGACAAAUAAUUUUGACAGGAUUUUAUCCUGGCAUAAACAUGCUGACAUAGUGUCAACAUAAUAACAGAAAAACCUUUUCGAAAUUCAACAUUAUAGAAUAUAAAGCAAGACAAAGUUAUCUCCUUGAAAUUUCUUUGACAACAUUCUAGAACAUGUGCCGGAUUCUAUUCGUUGAACCAAUAUUCUUCCGAUAUUUUGCAAGCCUAGAUAGUUUGAUAUCCCUAAAUGAUAAAUUCAGUUAAGGAAGCAACCAACUUAGCUAACGUAUUGUCGGUUCUUUGACUAAAUUACUUUUGUGAGUAACAGUAUUUUAUUAGAAAUUGUUUCACUACCUGUUGUUCUUUAUAUUAGAUUUCGAAAAAAGCCAAGGCAGUAAGUCAACUAUUAGGUUGACUGAUUAUCAUAUUUCUUCUUGCACUUAAACUGCUUGACAGGUUGAUCCAGAUGAAGUAAAUGCACUUGCUCAACUGGUGACAUAGAAGACUGCCCAUUACAGCGGUACCAUAUGGUGGAGUGAAGGGAGGAACAGGGUACUCGUCUGGUGAUUUAAGUAGGAGUGAGUUGGAGCAUCUAAUGCGUGUAUUUACUCAGAAAAAUUGUGAUCUUACCGGAACUCAUACCUAUAUUCUAGCUCCAGCCAUGGGAACUAAUUCACAGUUAUGUUAUGCAAUUUCGGUGUCUUUUCUACCGUUUACUACCUUCCUAUGCUCUGCAACUAACUCUAUCUAAAACCAGGGCUGCUUUUUAUAGGUAUGUUUAUGCCCCUUAUGCCAUUAUUUUAAAUGUUUCUUUACUGUAUUGCUUAUGAAUAGAUACAAAGUUUUUUUAUGUACUGUACUAUCCAGUGCGGAUAAAAACAACUUUGAUCCUCCCUUUGGUGUCUCCAUGGAUGCAUAUAUGUAUUUAUUGUUCAUAUCACAGAAUAAGGAUAAAUGUUUCGUUGGCAAAAUAUGAUCCUUCUAGAUAUCUUGUUGUACAAAUAAUCUCUCUUUAUGUAUCAUUGUUACUUUUGUUUCUGCUUGGUGUAUUUAACCUUACUUUUCAUGGUCAUUGCCUCAUGGUUCUGCUUCUACUGCAGGUUGUAGUACGUCAGUGAUGAUGAAAAGAUACUCGCUGUGUGUAUCAACUGUUUGACAAAGCUUAUGAUCCAUCUGUAGAUAAGUCAUUACCGUUCCUGUUCAAGAGAUAUAUGGAUGGCAAUGAUCAUAUAACAAAAUAUGGCGGGACCAGGCUUGACCUUGCAGUCUGCAAACAGUUGGUGGACUUGAUGGGUGGUACUCUCACUGCUUAGCAAAGAGAAAUGAUUGAAUAAAGGCUCAACAUUUAUAGUCAUGCUGCCCUGCACAAUUCCUGCAAGAGAUGUCGAGUGAUGAUCUUGGUAACGGGCAAAACUCCUGUAACAAAACUUUUUGCGAGUACUACAUUGGUUUGACUGCUGAAAUACCACGCUUCGGAAAAAAAGGCAAAAAUGUUUUACGUCUGAGGCAUGGGAAGUAUAGACUAAAGAAUGUGGUUUAAAGUUUCCCUAUUUUGUUAGAUUAGCUAAGGUGUUGAUUUGUUGAUUCAUGUCAGCGAUGUAUGUAAUCAAGAAUCAAGAAAGCAUACCAGUAUAUUGCAAUUCCUAAACUUACAAAAAUGAGAAGGAUGCAAGGAUGCCCAAACCUAUAGAUUUGUAAUUGACAUUUAGCACUACAUGUUGCCACUGAGUAAUUUUUCA